AUCCAUAAUAUUUAGCCUAGUGGACAUGGCACCUGCCCGGUAAGCAGAAGGUUGUGGGUUCGAUUCCCGCCCCUGGACA